UCCGGUUUAACACCGGCAGUCUCCUUAGAGUGCUUAACUUAAUAGUAGCAACUAAGAAUAAGGGUUGCGCUCGUUGCUGGACUUAACCAAACAUCUUACGACACGAGCUGACGACAGCCAUGCAGCACCUGUCUCCGCGUCUCCGAAGAGCCUAGCAUAUCUCUACACUAUUCGCGGGAUGUCAAACCCAGGUAAGGUUCUGCGCGUUGCUUCGAAUUAAACCACAUACUCCACCGCUUGUGCGGGCCCCCGUCAAUUCCUUUGAGUUUCAAUCUUGCGACCGUACUCCCCAGGCGGGAUACUUAAUGCGUGAGCUUUGAUACUCAGAGGGUUAACUCUCCGAACAUCGAGUAUCCAUCGUUUACGGCGCGGACUAC
rnacentral:misc_RNA from 1 species